rnacentral:rRNA from 1 species
UCGGCUUAGAGUUUGAUCAUGGCUCAGAUUGAACGCUGGCGGCAUGCUUUACACAUGCAAGUCGAACGGCAACGGACUUCGGUCUGGGCGAGUGGCGAACGGGUGAGUAAUACAUCGGAACGUGCCCAGUUGUGGGGGAUAACUACUCGAAAGAGUGGCUAAUACCGCAUGAGAACUGAGGUUGAAAGCAGGCAAUUGCGCAACUGGAGCGGCCGAUGGCAGAUUAGGUAGUUGGUGGGGUAAAGGCUUACCAAGCCUGCGAUCUGUAGCUGGUCUGAGAGGACGACCAGCCACACUGGGACUGAGACACGGCCCAGACUCCUACGGGAGGCAGCAGUGGGGAAUUUUGGACAAUGGGCGAAAGCCUGAUCCAGCAAUGCCGCGUGCAGGAUGAAGGCCCUCGGGUUGUAAACUGCUUUUGUACGGAACGAAAAGCCUACUUAAUGGUGGGUCAUGACGGUACCGUAAGAAUAAGCACCGGCUAACUACGUGCCAGCAGCCGCGGUAAUACGUAGGGUGCAAGCGUUAAUCGGAAUUACUGGGCGUAAAGCGUGCGCAGGCGGUUUUGUAAGACAGUGGUGAAAUCCCCGGGCUCAACCUGGGAACUGCCAUUGUGACUGCAAGGCUGGAGUGCGGCAGAGGGGGAUGGAAUUCCGCGUGUAGCAGUGAAAUGCGUAGAUAUGCGGAGGAACACCGAUGGCGAAGGCAAUCCCCUGGGCCUCACUGACGCUCAUGCACGAAAGCGU